CUUAGUGACCGAUAGCGCAUAGUACUGUGAAGGAAAGGUGAAAAGGACCCCGGGAGGGGAGUGAAAGAGAACCUGAAACCCUGUGUCUACAAGCUGUGGAAGCACUUUAUAUGUGCGACCGCGUACUUUUUGUAGAACGGUCCGGCGAGUUACGCUUACUGGCAAGGUUAAGCACUUCAGGUGCGGAGCCGUAGGGAAACCAAGUCUUAAGAGGGCCUUAAGUCAGUAGGAGUAGACCCGAAACCGGGUGAUCUAUCCAUGUCCAGGUUGAAGCUGCCGUAAGAGGUAGUGGAGGACCGAACCCACAUCCGUUGAAAAGGGUGGGGAUGAGGUGUGGAUAGGGGAGAAAUUCCAAUCGAACCCGGAGAUAGCUGGUUCUCCUCGAAAUAGCUUUAGGGCUAGCCUCGAUACAGAUUUGCGGAGGUAGAGCACUGAAUUUCCUAGGGGGCGUCAAAGCCUACCGAAGAAUAUCAAACUCCGAAUGCCGCGUAAUCGAUUAUCGGGAGUCAGACUGCACGAGAUAAGUUGGGCGGUCAAAAGGGAAAGAGCCCAGACCUUCAGUUAAGGUCCCCAAGUGCGCGUUAAGUGGAAAAGGAUGUGGGAUUUCGAAGACAACCAGGAUGUUGGCUCAGAAGCAGCCAUCCAUUCAAAGAGUGCGUAAUAGCUCACUGGUCGAGAGGUCCUGCGCCGAAAAUGUCCGGGGCUGAAACGCGCCACCGAAACUAAGGAACCGAAAGGUUGGUAGAGGAGCAUUGCAUGCGGGAAGAAGCAGUACCGGAAGGAGCUGUGGACUGCAUGGAAGAGAGAAUGCCGGAAUGAGUAGCGAGAAUAAGGUGAGAAUCCUUAUGGCCGAAUAUCCAAGGUUUCCAGAGUAAAGCUGAUCUGCUCUGGGUAAGUCGGGGCCUAAGGCGAGGACGAGAGUCGUAGCCGAUGGACAACAGGUGGAGAUUCCUGUACUGCGGUAUGACAGAACUGUGGGGACACGUAAGGAAAGCGGAAGCCGGGAAUGGAAAGCCCGGUGCAAGCGGGGUACCAGUCACUUUGGCAAAUCCGGGUGGCAAUGGGAAGCCGUGAUGCGGAGCGAAAUAAAGUAGCGAAGUCCGUGAGCCAUGCGUCAAGAAAAGCCGCUAUCGUUUAUACCGUACCCGUACCGUAAACCGACACAGGUGGAUGAGGAGAGAAUCCUAAGGCCGGCGGGAGAAGCAUUGUUAAGGAACUCGGCAAAAUGACCCUGUAACUUCGGGAGAAAGGGUGCCUGGGAAACCAGGCCGCAGAGAAUAGGCUCAAGCAACUGUUUAGCAAAAACACAGGUCUAUGCGAAACCGAAAGGUGAGGUAUAUGGGCUGACGCCUGCCCGGUGCUGGAAGGUUAAGAGGAGAGGUUAGCGCAAGCGAAGCUUUGAAUUGAAGCCCCAGUAAACGGCGGCCGUAACUAUAACGGUCCUAAGGUAGCGAAAUUCCUUGUCGGGUAAGUUCCGACCCGCACGAAAGGCGUAAUGAUUUGAGCGCUGUCUCGACAAUGCAUCCGGUGAAAUUGAAGUACCAGUGAAGAUGCUGGUUACCUGCGCCAGGACGGAAAGACCCCAUGGAGCUUUACUCCAGUCUGGUACUGGGACUCGGUAUUGCAUGUACAGGAUAGGUGGGAGGCUAGGAGAUGGUAACGCCAGUUGCCAUGGAGCCGCUGUUGGGAUACCACCCUUGCAGUAUUGGGUUUCUAACCAGCCGCCGUGACCCGGCGGUGGGACAAUGCCAGACGGGGAGUUUGACUGGGGCGGUCGCCUCCGAAAGGGUAUCGGAGGCGCCCAAAGGUUCCCUCAGAAUGGACGGAAACCAUUCGAAGAGUGCAAAGGCAGAAGGGAGCUUGACUGCGACACCGACGGGUGGAGCAGGUACGAAAGUAGGGCUUAGUGAUCCGGUGGUAUUAAGUGGGAAUGCCAUCGCUCAACGGAUAAAAGCUACCCUGGGGAUAACAGGCUUAUCACUCCCAAGAGUUCACAUCGACGGAGUGGUUUGGCACCUCGAUGUCGGCUCAUCGCAUCCUGGGGCUGUAGUAGGUCCCAAGGGUUGGGCUGUUCGCCCAUUAAAGCGGUACGCGAGCUGGGUUCAGAACGUCGUGAGACAGUUCGGUCCCUAUCCGUCGCGGGCGCAGGAAAUUUGAGAGGAGCUGUCCUUAGUACGAGAGGACCGGGAUGGACGUUCCGCUGGUGUACCAGUUGUGCCGCCAGGCGCAUCGCUGGGUAGCUAUGAACGGCAGGGAUAAACGCUGAAAGCAUCUAAGUGUGAAGCCCCCCUCGAGAUGAGAUUUCCCAUUCCU
rnacentral:rRNA from 1 species